rnacentral:rRNA from 1 species
GACGAACGCUGGCGGCGUGCUUAACACAUGCAAGUCGAACGGAAAGGCCCAGCUUGCUGGGUGCUCGAGUGGCGAACGGGUGAGUAACACGUGGGUGAUCUGCCUCUAACUUCGGGAUAAGCUUGGGAAACUGGGUCUAAUACCGGAUAGGACAAUCGUUUAGUGUCGGUUGUGGAAAGUUUUUUCGGUUAGGGAUGAGCCCGCGGCCUACCAGCUUGUUGGUGGGGUAAUGGCCUACCAAGGCGUCGACGGGUAGCCGGCCUGAGAGGGUGGACGGCCACAUUGGGACUGAGAUACGGCCCAGACUCCUACGGGAGGCAGCAGUGGGGAAUAUUGCACAAUGGGCGCAAGCCUGAUGCAGCGACGCCGCGUGGGGGAUGACGGCCUUCGGGUUGUAAACCUCUUUCGACAGGGACGAAGCUUUGGUGACGGUACCUGUAUAAGAAGCACCGGCUAACUACGUG